CAUGCAAGUCGCACGAAGGUUUCGGCCUUAGUGGCGGACGGGUGAGUAACGCGUAGGAAUCUAUCCGUGGGUGGGGGAUAACUCCGGGAAACUGGAGCUAAUACCGCAUAAUACCUGAGGGUCAAAGGCGCAAGUCGCCUGCGGAGGAGCCUGCGUUUGAUUAGCUUGUUGGUGGGGUAAUGGCCUACCAAGGCGAUGAUCAAUAGCUGGUCUGAGAGGAUGAUCAGCCACACUGGAACUGAGACACGGCCCAGACUCCUACGGGAGGCAGCAGUGGGGAAUAUUGGACAAUGGGGGCAACCCUGAUCCAGCAAUGCCGCGUGUGUGAAGAAGGUUUUCGGAUUGUAAAGCACUUUCGGCGGGGACGAUGAUGACGGUACCCGCAGAAGAAGCCCCGGCUAACUAC
rnacentral:rRNA from 1 species